rnacentral:rRNA from 1 species
GACGAACGCUGGCGGCGUGCCUAAUACAUGCAAGUCGAACGCAGUGGGGACGGGUGAGUAACACGUGGUUAACCUCCCAUCAGAUGGCAUAACACUUGGAAACAGGUGCUAAACCGAUACUGAUUGAUGGACCCGCGUUGCAUUAGCUAGUUGGUGAGGUAACGGCCCACCAAGGCCAAGAUGCAUAGCCGACCUGAGAGGGUGAGCGGACACACUGGGACUGAGACACGGCACAGACUCCGACGGGACGCAGCAGUAGGGAAUCUUCGGGAAUGGACGAAAGUCUGACCGAGCAACGCCGCGUGAGUGAAGAAGGUUUUCGGAUCGUAAAACUCUGUUGUUAGAGAAGAGGUAUCUAACCAGAAAGCCACGGCUAACUACGUGCCAGCAGCCGCGGUAAUAC